rnacentral:rRNA from 1 species
UAAUCCCAGCAGUCCAAGUUGUGGCCGUAUUUAUUAGGUCUAAAAUAUUCGUAGCUUGCUUUGUAAGUUCCUUGUGAAAUGUUAUUGCUUAACUUUAACGCGUGCUAGGAAUACUGCAUUGCUAGAGACCGGGAGACGUAACGAGUACGAUUAGGGUAACGGUAAAAUGUGUUAAUCCUAAUUGGACUAACAAUGGCGAAGGCACGUUACGAGAACGGAUCUGACGGUGAGGAAUGAAGGCCAGGGGCGCGAAAUGGAUUAGAUACCCAUGUAGUCCUGGCAGUAAACGCUGCUUACUAAACAUUGGGUUCUCUUAGAGAGAAUUCAGUGCUGAAGCGAAGGCGGAAGUAAGCUACCUGGGGAGUAUAGCCGCAAGGCCG